AUACAUCCCACCCAGAGAAACGAUCUCGCCUCAGAUGAUACUUGUCAUCUGUGAGACCACCCCUUUAGCUAGAGUUAACCACUUGAGCAGGUUUCAAUUUUGUCUCUGAAAGUAGGAAGCUAUCAGUCUCCCUACAUGACUCGUUCCACCCUUUGUGGAUACUUCUACCUGUAGAAAAAAAGGUUGGCAAACUUGGUGGCAUGGUGAGGACAAAGGGCAUUUUGAAAGAACCAGUGACUGAGGUCAGAGUGGGGAGCUGGUGUUAGCUGUGGGAUUCACUGCAGCGUCCUACCACAAAGGCAAAGAAGAUGAAAAUGCAGCGUGCAGUGCUGGGCUUGAUUCCCAAGUCGCAGUCGGGCUCCCGCUAUGGUAGGAGGCUUUACACUCAGCCUGGGUCAGCACCGGAGCAUCCAGGCACUUCAGCUCGUCUGGGUAGUCAGCUGUGAGGAUCAGGAAGAGAUCAAAGAAAGUAGAAAUGUGGGUGAGGCCAGAGAAGGAGACAAUAAUCUGGGAUGGAACAUUGAAGAGGAACACUGCCUCUGGAGAGGACUCCAAAACAUGCAAGACAUUGUGAUUUUGACCUUGUUGGAUGCUGCACCUAAAGGUGGAUGGAAGAGGAAGAGUCUUGGGGGCUACCAUCCUGGCUGGAGAAGCUGGCACGAGGCUCCCUCUUGUGGAUGCAGCAAGGGUCUCAUUCUGUUAUCCAAGCUGGAGUGCAGUGGCACGAUCAUGGCUCCCUGCAGCCUCGAGCUCCUGGGCUCAGGUGAUUCUCCCACCUCUGCCUCCUGAAUAACUGGGACUACAGUCAUGUGCCACCACGCCUGGCUAAUUUUUUGUAUUUUGUAGAGAUAGGGUUUCACCAUGUUGCCUAAGCUGGUCUCAAACUUCCGGGCUCAAGUGAUCCACCUGUCUCAGCCUCCAAAGUGUGUGAGCCACUGUGCCUGGCCUGUCUGAUGAUUUAAAGAAUAAAAUUAAUAAAAUUAUAGAAGAU
rnacentral:lncRNA from 1 species